rnacentral:rRNA from 1 species
AGGGCAAGUCUGGUGCCAGCAGCCGCGGUAAUUCCAGCUCCAAUAGCGUAUAUUUAAGUUGUUGCAGUUAAAAGCUCGUAGUUGAAUUUCGAGACCGGUUUAUUGGUCGUGCUUUUGUACGUACUGGUAUUAUUGGUUUCUCCUUUCUGACGAAUCAUAAUGCCAUUAAUUUGGUGUUUUGGGGAAUCAGGACUGUUACUUUGAAAAAUUAGAGUGUUUAAAGCAGGCUCACGCUUGAAUACAUUAGCAUGGAAUAACGAAAUAGGACGUUUGAUUCUAUUUUAGUUGGUUUCUAGGGAUCGGCGUAAUGAUUAAUAGGGAUAGUUGGGGGCAUUAGUAUUCAAUUGUCAGAGGUGAAAUUCUUGGAUUUAUUGAAGACUAACUACUGCGAAAGCAUUUGCCAAGGAUGUUUUCAUUAAUCAAGAACGAAAGUUAGGGGAUCGAAGACGAUCAGAUACCGUCGUAGUCUUAACCAUAAACUAUGCCGACUAGGGAUCGGAUGAUGUUAAUUUUUUAAUGACUCAUUCGGCGCCUUACG